AUUGAACGCUGGCGGCAUGCCUUACACAUGCAAGUCGAACGGCAGCACGGGAGCAAUCCUGGUGGCGAGUGGCGAACGGGUGAGUAAUAUAUCGGAACGUGCCCAGUCGUGGGGAUAACGUAGCGAAAGCUACGCUAAUACCGCAUACGAUCUAUGGAUGAAAGCGGGGGAUCGCAAGACCUCGCGCGAUUGGAGCGGCCGAUAUCAGAUUAGGUAGUUGGUGAGGUAAAGGCUCACCAAGCCGACGAUCUGUAGCUGGUCUGAGAGGACGACCAGCCACACUGGGACUGAGACACGGCCCAGACUCCUACGGGAGGCAGCAGUGAGGAAUAUUGGACAAUGGGCGCAAGCCUGAUCCAGCCCAUGCCGCGUGCAGGAUGACGGUCCUAUGGAUUGUAAACUGCUUUAUACAGGAAGAAACACUCCGACGUGUCGGAGCUUGACGGUACUGUAAGAAUAA
rnacentral:rRNA from 1 species